UAAUUAAGAACUCAGCUGGAAGUAAGACACAAGACAACAGAGUGCUCCCAGUACCUGGACUGAGAUAUAUUGCCCGAUAGUAAUUUAAUAUAAUAUUGGCUUUCCACGGGCUGUAUCCUGACCGGGUGACCCUGUAAAUGGAUUUGGUCGUACUGCAACGAUGAGAGAUGUGGUUUUGCGUGCUUUGCACAUGCAGACCCUGCUUCUGCAGAAUAUGCCUGCAGAGACUGAAGCAUACGACUGAUCUGGGAACAUACAGCAGUGAGAUACUCAGUGCCCUGCCUGCACCCUGUUGUGCAGUACCUUCAGAGGAGAGGAGGAAGACGCAGAGAGAGAGAGUCGGUUGACGGAGCCGACCAGAGCGCGCACACCACGUUUAGCAGCUGGAUCCAGCGCCACUGCAGGAAAUGAAAAUGGGGGGCGCGGAUCGCCGUGGAAACGGGCGGCGAUCGCCGCGGGAGCGAGGAGCAGGAAGCCGGGUGGGGAAAAAUUCGGGACGCGCCGCAUCGCCGGGAUGCGGACAGGGGUGCGGUCGGUUCCUCCGCCGCUGGUCAGUCCGUCCAUGUCCGUGUAAACAGCCGAAGCAGGGAAGUGCAGCUGUUAGGGAAUCCCAGGACGGGAAGUCGAGGGGUGGCUUUCACGCCCCUGAUUUGCACCUCGGAAAACCGAUCCGCUCCUUCCGAGGCUAUGCGUUAGCGGCUCUGCGGGCUCUUCGGGCAGCCUGGACUGCCGAGUUUAACGACUCAUGUUAAUAAUCUCUGGUGUAAUUAGUUUCUUUUUUUUGCACAUUCACGGAGAACGACGUGCCUCCGGGGGCCAGCGGAUGCUGCGGGCCUCCUCUCGAGAAUAAGAGGAGUCGAGUUGAAGGCUUGAUAUGUCUGAGGGCUGACGGGGUGUCACCGCGCCGACCCCCUAGAUCCCCGUGCGAAAAGGAGGCCUCUCGCAGCCGGCGGAUGUUAAGCGCAAGCCUCUGGCGAGGCCGACCAAUCGCAGCAGAGAGGACGCAGCGCGUCCUUCGCUUCAUUCUGCGUCAGUGCCACCAAGUUUGCGUCGCCCCUGGCAACCUAAAAGCCUGCCCUCACGAAAAUGGAACAUACUAAAUUAUAUUGAAACGAAAUGUGUUUUAAAUAUAUUGCAACCCCUCAGAAUAUAUGGACAAAUGUACAAAUGAUUGCCUCCUUCAGAUAUUGCAGCACAUUUUUUGAAGAUACACUGCCGUGAAAUAUAUUUAUAAAAAAGCACAUAUUUGCAGUAUAUUUCAGUAUUUUCCAUUUAAAUAAGAGCUGAAGAAAGCUGCUGUGUGUGUGAAAGAGCAGUAGGGUUAAAGACGCUAAGCAAUGCUCAUUUUAUAGUUUUUUUCCAUGCAGUAAAGUUUGCUUCAGCUAUG